ACAGACAGGGACAUUUUAAUCUGUUUAAUGGGGCCGUCUCCCUUUGCUCCCUGGUGCUGUGCCAGAGCAGGGCUGAUGUAUACUGAGGGCUGAGGUAGAGUAGAGGACAGGGCUGAUGUAUACUGAGGGCUGAGGUAGAGUAGAGGACAGGGCUGAUGUAUACUGAGGGCUGAGGUAGAGUAGAGGACAGGGCUGAUGUAUACUGAGGGCUGAGGUAGAGUAGAGGACAGGGCUGAUGUAUACUGAGGGCUGAGGUAGAGUAGAGGACAGGGCUGAUGUAUACUGAGGGCUGAGGUAGAGUAGAGGACAGGGCUGAGGUAUACUGAGGGCUGAGGUAGAGUAGAGGACAGGGCUGAUGUAUACUGAGGGCUGAGGUAGAGUAGAGGACAGGGCUGAUGUAUACUGAGGGCUGAGGUAGAGUAGAGGACAGGGCUGAGGUAUACUGAGGGCUGAGGUAGAGUAGAGGACAGGGCUGAGGUAUACUGAGGGCUGAGGUAGAGUAGAGGACAGGGCUGAGGUAUACUGAGGGCUGAGGUAGAGUAGAGGACAGGGCUGAGGUAUACUGAGGGCUGAGGUAGAGUAGAGGACAGGGCUGAGGUAUACUGAGGGCUGAGGUAGAGUAGAGGACAGGGCUGAUGUAUACUGAGGGCUGAGGUAGAGUAGAGGACAGGGCUGAGGUAUACUGAGGGCUGAGGUAGAGUAGAGGACAGGGCUGAUGUAUACUGAUGGAACUUGCUCAGUCUCUCAGAGCGGAAUGCCCAGGUUAACCAGGGUCACGGUCAGAUACACAGAGAAAUUGCACCAGAGUGGAAAACACUAUAACAUUACAUUACACACACACACACACACACACACACACACACACACACACACACACACACACACACACACACACACACACACACACACACACACACACACACACACACACACACACACACACACACACACACACACACACACACACACGCACGCACACACGCAUGCAUAUGUAAUACAAUGAUAGCCAAGGACAGCAAUAUACACACAUUUAUUUGAAAAACAUUAUUUUAAACAUAAAUAAAGUUUGCUGUCUUUAUGAGUAAAGGAGGCAAGUGAAGCAUUUCCUGUUUGAGGAGUUGGUAAAGAAC